ACUAGAGCCACAGUGAGAUGCGAUUGGAAGCAGGUUUUUUUUGCGCAGCUGUCCCCACUCGCGCUACUUGAAGAUGCUGAAUUACGUGUUCACGCAAUCUUCAGAUUCAUUCGGGGAACCAUUUCUACCGGCCAGGCUUGGUAUGAAUACCAGCACGCUGUAGAUUUAACCGCUUCUUUAACGUGCCUUUCACGAGGUUUCGAAGGCCUAGAUCCGAGGCAUGUAAAAGCGGCCGCUAGCAAGACCCUGUGCCAUCGACUUGAGGCGCUAUCCUGGGACAGCAUUCCGGGCAAAAUGGACUCUACCCUAUAAGUGCCGCAAGAAAGAAACCGGUCAGGUUUCCACUACUCGCACCGCGGCAACCACUGACGGACGCUCACAUCCAAGACAAGUAGCGUUUCGGAGCUUCUGCGAUGACAGAUAAAGAUGUAGAAACGCUAUGCUGCCUCUUGCGCCAACUACGAAAGGAGCAGCUAGUUCGUCUGGACAAUGUGGAGCUGGCCUGGUUUCCGCGAGUAAAAGCGUUUCACGAGGCCGGAACCAUCAGCGCCAUCCGAACCUGCCUGCAGUCCGUCGCGAGCCCAUUGGAGCGUCUGCAGCGCGUGGCCAUGAUUUACUCUUGGCUAGCGCCUUCGGGAAUUUUGCGUGCGUGGACGCUCUAUCGCGUUAAUGGCCGCGCAGGAUUUAUCAACCCCGUCAGUGUUUUUGCUCGGAUAACGAGACGCUUGGAGAUUGAGGGUAAGAUGGAGACACGCGGUUAUGUUGAGAACGGUAGCUCUACGUGUCUCAGCAUUCCGACGACAGAAGAUGGGCACAUGACAAUCGAACACAGAAUGGUGUGCUUUUGCAUGUGGCGUGGGCUGCCGGUUCUGGCCGUUCACGCACCGGGAGCAACAGCCCAUAAAGAAUUCUUUAGGGCCGCCCUCGCUGAGAUUCCCGUCGAUCCCGAGAAGGAUGUGAUCGGCUUCUACGGCGAAUUAGAGUCAGCGCGUUCAGAGGCCAUGAAAAACUUUGGUACCUUAAGAACAAGUCAGGCGUUCAAUGUGUGAGGUAUACGAGAGGUAUAAGGCAUAAGGCAUGCUGCACUGCAAAGGCCAAGCAUAGUUUCAUUUGCCCCUGCUACACUCCCGUAUGCGAAGAGGGCAUAGAAGGCAGCGGUAAAUGGUUGUGCACUAUCAUGGUUUGGUAGUCGCCAGAUCAACUUUAACAAAUACGGGGACUGGCCUACAGGUACAUUUAUCGUCUGCGUGCAAUACUUUCAUUAUCUGCGACACUUGUAUCAGUGGUGGAAAGACCGCACGUCGUUUGAGGUUAUUCGGCAGAUGUGGUUGGGCGCAUGAUGGAUAUCUCGUACGGCUGGUUUUAUAUUGCAUGAAGAAAUCGUUUGUUCGCAAUCACAAGGCAUGUUCUUACGUAAAUAAAUUUUUCGUCGGUAAA